UCGUCUUUAGUUUUGCUGGCGGAACACAAGCAAACGUUAAAGGUGCAUGGCACCACCUACUGACAGCAUGACUUUAAUCAACAAAAAUAGCAAAAAAACGAAAAGAAAAUGAAUGGAUAUUUAUAAAUGCGAUAUAUUCUGGUUAUUAAACCUCCUUCGUUUAAAUACUUGUUAGGUUUUGUGGCGGUUGGCGAACGUUAAGGUACAUAACCGCCACCUUCUGGGCUGGAGUGUAACGUUAGGUUGGCAGUUCUCUCGCUACUUCUUAUGAGUUGUGUAUGGUAUUUCAGUUUUAUACACAAGGCUUAUAUUCGUGGGUAAUUUAAAUAUUAUUUUAGGCUAAGCUUAUCACAACUUACACGUAAAUGAGUCUUUCGUUGGCAACGCUCGCGCUCGGUCCGUUGGGAUGGCUUUUAUUUUGAAAAAAAAAAAAAAAAACGUACGGGAAGUCGGAGGGGAAAAUCAGCUGGAAUCCGCGGAAACCAUCAAGAGGACUAUUUUCCUUUACUUAGCUAGCUAUCCAUCUGUCAACUUCCAAUUCUCCUUUCCUUCCCUGUGCUGUCAAAACGCCACACUGGCGAUGUCGGAGUCAUACGAUUUCCUGUUUAAAUUCCUGGUGAUUGGGAAUGCUGGAACAGGAAAAUCCUGUCUGCUGCACCAGUUCAUAGAGAAGCGAUUUAAGGAUGAAUCCAACCACACGAUUGGAGUGGAGUUUGGCUCUAAGAUCAUCAAUGUGGUCAACAAAAUGGUCAAACUGCAGAUUUGGGACACUGCAGGACAAGAAAGGUUCAGGUCUGUGACCAGGAGUUACUACAGAGGAGCAGCAGGAGCUCUGCUGGUCUAUGAUAUCACCAGUCGAGAGACAUACAACGCUCUGACCACAUGGCUCAGUGAUGCCAGGAUGCUGGCGAGUCAAAACAUUGUCAUCAUCCUAUGUGGAAACAAGAAGGACCUGGACGCUGACAGAGAGGUCACGUUCCUGGAGGCUUCACGCUUUGCUCAGGAGAAUGAACUGAUGUUCCUGGAGACCAGCGCUCUGACAGGAGAGAACGUUGAAGAGGCCUUUGUCCAGUGCGCUCGGAAAAUCCUCAACAAGAUAGAGUCAGGAGAGCUGGAUCCAGAGAGGAUGGGUUCAGGUAUCCAGUAUGGUGACGCUGCGUUACGGCAGCUUCGUUCUCCUCGCCGUGCUCAGCCACAGGGCACCCAGGAGUGUGGCUGCUAGUGGAUGCGCGUAGUAGCACACACAGACAAGGUGAAAGGGCUGGUGUGUUUGCAAUUGUGUUUCAGAUGUGUUUGUGAAGACCAGAAGAAGAACAGCCACAGGGGACCCAGGGUUCAGGUUGCUAUGUUGAUGACUCCUCUCUGACCUUUGACCUUUCGCACGGAAUCCUCAGAACCUUCGUUGUCAUGGCUGCACCUGCAGAGAGCUGAAAAGACCUCCCAGCCACACCCCCUCUCAGAACUCUGAGCAUCUCCAAGGAACCCAUAGACCGCCCACCUUCCAACAUUCUGCUCCACUAUUGGACCAAACCCUCCCCAGCCCUCCAAUCAGGGUGUGAAUGACUGACAUGUAUGUAACCUCUCUUGCUCUCUCUUUCUCACCUCUCAACUUAAUGCGUUUUAGUUUUCUUGCUUAUCACUGCUUCCAUCUACCUUCCAUCUGGACUACUUAAGGGAAAAGUUUACAUUUGGGAAGUGUCUUUCCUUUUGCAUCCCAGUUCAUCAACAAGGUAUAACUUGUUAAUUAGUCAGCUUCAAAAGCAUUGGUAGGUAGAUUUUUGAAUAUUGGGGCUAGCCUGAUUAGCCUGUUCCCUCUUCUUCCAGUUUUUAUGCCAAGCUAAACCCAGACAAAUGUACAAAUUAGGCUUCACUCAACAUGACAGAAAUAGACUGAAGGCGUGAAAAAAAAUGCAGGGGGUCUCUCGUUAUCAUGGAGAUGACUUUAAACCUUUCAAACAACACGUUAUUGUUUAAUUUCUGUCAAGCGACACUUACCAAAAUUAUCAAGCGUUCUACCAUAAAUCAGGCUUAACUCUUGGCUACAAAACCAAUUGUUGGGCUAUUCCUUUAACCACAUACAUAUUUGAUACCCUCCACCUCUAUUGUACUUCUGUUUCUCCAUCCACCUGGUCUGAUUGCCUGUUAACUUCCUGCUGUGCUCACCUGUGUAAAACACACCACUAACAGUCUACUGACCACCCCCAACAUUUUGCACUCCCUGUAUCCCUUCUUACUCCAGGCAAUGCAGCUGCCAAAUAACACUUCAUCAGCCGACUUUCCCUACCCAUUGCUCGCAACCCGCCAUUCUCUGAUACCUGUUCACACAUCUGCUUACCUGUCCACCUGCCUGUCUCUUUCCGCAGCUCUCUGCCUCUGUGAAUCUCCCCCUAUCUCCUUACAGCAUCUUAUACACUGUACAGUGUUUCUGUAUAUAGAGACUGACGCAUGUUUUCUCAGACAGAAUAGCAGAGUAUUUCAUUAUGAAGAGAUAUUAUAUGUAUAUUAAAGUAGAUAUCAUAUCCAGUAUCUGUUUUAUGCUCCACUGUAUUAUUAUCAUGUUAAGCUACAAUACACUGGCGACAUGUGAGCAGUAUAGAUGGGCAGUACUGUUUGCAGCAGUUAUGUUUAUUUGUAAAUGGGACAAACUGACAUUAUGAACAUAUAUGUGGAAAAAUGCUGUUUUAUCACCGUUGAUAGAUCUUAAAAACGGAAAUAUCCUGAGCAUACAUUUGACUUUAUGUUGGUUAAUUCAAAUUGUUAAGAGUGUGAAAGUUAUGUCGUCUUUUAAUUUACAACGACACAUUCAGCAUUCACUGUUCAGUUACAUGUCUCAUCAGUGUGACGCACUUCUUUAUCCAAAGGAUUCCCAUUAUGACUGAAUACGUCUGGUCCCUCUCAUUUAUUAACUAUGCCUGUUUACAUGAAUACCUCACUGAUGGCUGCCGGCUGUGGGGUGAUACUAACUGAAUGCAUUUCAAGUCAAGUUUUUUAUUUGUCUCCAAAGAUACUUCAUGUUCAGUUGAGCCACAUGGAGCUCUCCACAAAAACACUUCAACUUGGGAAUAUUUUUCGAACAUUUAGAUUUAGAGGUAUGUUCAAGCAUUACAUGGUUUUUUUUUCUAAAUGUUUUUUACUUUUUGCCCCUUGACAGUUAUGCAUUAAACUUUUGAAUCAAGCACACUUCAAACUGUAGAGAUAUUUUAUGUAAGAAUUCAUCUGAUAGCGGCUUCUUCUGCUCCACAUCAGGUUGCCUUCUUGUGUCUAUGUCAUCAUCAUGUCCUUUGUUUAUUUAUGGACGUCCAUUUUUCUCUUAUCAUUAUGAAUAUCAUGGAUUUUUAAUUUAUUGUGUAUGAUAAAAGCAUAUGUUUUUAAAAUAAAAACUACGAAUAUAAUGUUGUCUUUGAAAAGCA